CCCAGUUAAAGUCUUCUACUUCUGUUAGGGAUCGUACAAGACUACGACAAUCAGAUUCGAUUGAAACAGCACCUAGCUUCUUUUUCUUUAUGCACUCCAGAGCUUCAACAAGAGAUAGGGUUUCGAUUUGAGGGAUCGAAUCUGCGCGAACUGUCCUGGUGAAGCCAUCGACGAGACAACCGGAGGAGUUGGGGACGAUUUCGGCGAUGGCUCCUUCUGCUGAGCCCUUUCGGAUUGACCCAUCGACGCUAUCUUCAAUUUCCCCAUCUCUGGAGCAACCCAACUCUAAGGUAUGUCUUUCUCCUCUGAUUUUCUUGCUUGAGGGUGUUGACACAUCCAUUUCUCAUAAUUUCGCUACUAGAAUUUGGCCAGAUCUAUUGUGUUACAUGCAUUCGGCUUGCUUCCUUGAAAAUAAAGCUGUUUUGCCCCUUCCAAAUUUGCCAGCGGAGGUUUGAGAUCGAUUCCAAGGACGGUAAGUGAGUGUUUUUCCUUAUAAAAGUGCCAA
rnacentral:lncRNA from 1 species